UUGACGUGUACAUGUAGGUCGGUCAGCUGUGGACGGAUUGGAGUGCUACAUGUCUGCUUACUCAGCAGCCUGCACCAAAGCGCAGCUUGCUUACCAUUCUUUUUUUAAAACAGACCGCAGGGUAGUAAAUAGCUACGAGGAGGAUCACAGCCUUCACAGCUGAUUGGUUUGAUGCCGGCCUGACACAAACAGGAAGCCGGUCGUGCAAGUCAGAGGAGAGAGCGGACGACGAGGAGAGACAGACAAAAGUGCCGUGUGACUCAUGGAGGAAUGCAGUGUGUGAUUCAGAUCUCUGCAUCGUCAGCAGGCAGCGUGCACCGAAAAAUGAUGCCAAACUCAUUUCAUUCCCGUAAUGUUUGGCAAUUGCUGAGGCCUGCUUGGAGACCGCAUUUCCUUAGAUCCUCGCACCGUGCAGAAAAUGCUCCCUAUUUGCCUCCAGGAGAAGGCAGACAUUCAAUCCGACCUCCUCAAUGUCAGAAUGGCGACGGAGAUAUACUUGGUAACUUGUGUUUUUGCACCCCUCCUUCCACCCUUUCCCAGUGUGAGUGUGUAUGCAUGUAUCUUUCAAGCCCUUCAUUUCCCAGAAAAGAGCUGAGGAUUUAUGAGUGCAUGGGCCGCCGCGAGCGACAUCUCCAGAGAAGGAUGAGUGUUUCCUGCAAACAGUUGGGAGGGGGUGUGUGUGUGUGAGUGUGUGUGGGUGGACAGCUUCCAUAGAAACACUAUCCAGCAACACUUGAGGAGCGUCAUCAAGGGGAGGUGUGCUGUGUGUGAGCACGGAGGAGGCGUGCUUCUGAGAAAAAGCCCACGAGGCCGUGCAGAUCUGUGAUUGACAGUUGACUCUGCUGAUUACUGCCCCUCAGGGACAAACUCCUGACAACAGCUGCUGCUUCAAACUCCCCCUGAACUCUCGCUAACAUCAGCCGUCUCACAUAACGUCUCUCCAAAUAUGUCCAAACUUGACUUGUCAGCUUAAGCGUGGCAUCCGAAUCCCCUUCUUUUACGUCUACCUCUGCCUCUGCAGAAAUCCGACACAGGAGGACUUCGGCUGACCUGCUGAACCGACAAGUAUCUGCAAAGUAUCAGGAGCCAAGGUUGCCAGGUCUGACUGACAGUUUAAAGCCCAAACACAACAUAAAACUCACCCAGCUCCAAAGAAAACAGCCCAAACCUCAACCUCUAAUGAAACUCAUGUUAACAGCAUGAGUUUAGUCAUAAGCUGACUUUCCAUUCACCAUAUAAUUUAGCAAGUUGAAAUUACAAAAUAAAUUUGCUUAAUGGAAGCAUGGCAAUAAGAUGAAAUGGGUUUUCGGCUGUAUCCAAAUUAGUGUAUUUGCAAUUUAAACAAAUUUUUUGCAUCACACGAGUGAUGUGGUCAUCAACAACCGGAUGUUACUACUGGUGGAAACGACAAAGGCGACAGGAAGUUGCAGGAGGAUUAUGGCGCAACAUAUUUUUAAAUGACUUAUUGUGUGAACAAGCUUAUUCCUGUGUUAUUUUAACCUAAGUUUCUGAUUUAAUGGCCACACCGCAAUUACGAAAUUGUGUUUUUUCAAUAUUAGCAAAAUAUCAAAAAAGUUCUGCGCACAUUUAAGCGCAAAAUGCAGCUAUAUAUAAAGACAGUUUUGGUUGUCCUUUAUUUUAUUCAAUAUUGUAUUAUAUUCUCAUUAGGAUUGACUGAACACAAUGAAACUUGAGAUUUUUUGUGGAGCCUGGUAAUUUUAAAUCAUGUUGUUGCCCUGGCAUUUCUGUUUUAUAAUAUUACUACAUAGUGACACUUGAAUAACCAAUAACUAAUCAUUGAUGAUGUCACAUUCGCCAGAUUCUAGAGAUUUCAAAAUAAAUGAACUAAUAAGAUAAGCGGUAGCGGUUUCUGAUAUGGGCAGUAGCCCAGGGUGGCUUUUCAUGUGGGGCGGCAGGAGCUUUGUUAUUUGCG